GUCACUCGGGGAGUGCGUUCAGUGCUGCCGUUGUUGCAGCACUCUGUGAACGCAUUCCAGAAAUGUCAUUUUGACAAAUGACACUCAGUGAACGUAUCUCCGAAAUGUCAGAUUGACAAAUGGAUUUUGAUGUUUUUUUGUUUUGUUUUUCCAUCGGGAGUUUUUAUUUGCUAAGUCGGGAUUUUGUUUGCGCCGCCAAAUUCGGCGCAGCAGUUGGAAAAUCUUCCAGGUACCGGAUGUCCUCGUCCUCCGGAAACUGGUUCCGCCGGGAGAGCGGCAGUAGCGGGUGGUAGAACCAUCCUCGAACUCUGCUUCGGAUGAACCGGAUUGCUCCUGAUCGUCGGAUUCUUUAGAGUCGUCGUCCAAGAAUUCCGGAUUGCAGGCACUGGUGCUGCCACCGGAUCGGCCAAUCCAAAACCGUGGAAGAAGAUCAAUGGAGCAAGGGUUGCAUCGCUUAACGAAUUACUCAUUUUCGUUGUCGAGUCGGUAGAUGAAACUGCGCGCAAUCGCUGCAAUGCGGACCCCGGGUGUCCACGAUGGAACUGCCGCAAAAUCUGGUGCCGGAACUGGUUCGGGAACAUCACGCAGCCGUCCACAAGACUGAGCGAUUCCCGUUGGUGCAAGUAGGGAAAAACCUCGGGAUUGGUGACCGACCCCGCGCUGCUUGGCCAUUCGUCGCGGAUGUACUUUACCACGGCCUGGAGUAUGGCAUUCGUCGCAGUGGCUUUUUGGAGAGCUGCGAAAGAAACUAGCACUUUGUCGAUCGUGUCUGCGAUGAUGCUUACCAGGUCAUCUUCGAGCGUGCCACCACGUACCCCUCUUCCGGUUGGACAACAUGUCGGCACAGUUGAAGUCGCUCGUGGGCAUAUGCUGGAUGUCGAAGUCGUAGUUCAGCAUCAUGAGUGCCCAGCAAUAGAGGCUAUUCACGGUGUGCAGUGGAAUUCUCUUCUUAGACUAACGCGAGCCUUUUCAGAUUGUCUGUAGUUGCGCUCAGCGAGUGAGCCAUCAGGGAACUUUUGUAGAAUGACGGCCUCGAUUGCGGUGCUCGACGCAUCCGCUGCAACGAUGAUUGGCAGCUUCGGAUCGUAGUGUGUUAGCAGUAGGAUUGACUGAAGAACCUCCUUGAACUCCCCGAACGCCUGCUGGUACUCAGAUGUCCAACGCCACGUGGUGCCCUUCUUGAGCAGCUGGCAGUAAAUCAAGAUAACAAAACAAUUAGGUAACAUUACAAAAAAAAAAAAAAAAACAAAAA